AGCAGCCGCGGUAAUUCCAGCUCCAAUAGCGUAUAUUAAAGUUGUUGCAGUUAAAAAGCUCGUAGUUGAAUUUUAGGCCUGGCCGGAUGGUCCGUCUCUGGCGAGUACUGUUCUGUCGUCGGGUCUAUCCUUCUGGUGAGCCGGUGUGUUCUUAAUUGGGCGUGCCGGGGAACCAGGACCAUUACCUUGAAAAAAUUAGAGUGUUUAAAGCAGGCUUUUGCUUGGAUAGAUUAGCAUGGAAUAAUAGAAUAGGACGUUGUGGUUCUAUUUUGUUGGUUUUAGGACCACCGUAAUGAUUAAUAGGGAUAGUUGGGGGCAUUAGUAUUCAAUUGUCAGAGGUGAAAUUCUUGGAUUUAUUGAAGACUAACUACUGCGAAAACGCUAG
rnacentral:rRNA from 1 species